rnacentral:rRNA from 1 species
UGGGGGAUAUUGCACAAUGGGCGAAAGCCUGAUGCAGCGACGCCGCGUGGGGGAUGAAGGCCUUCGGGUUGUAAACUUCUUUUGCUCUGAACAAGGCGCACCAUGGGGUGUGUUGAGUGUAGGGGUUGAUUAGCGCCGGCUAACUACGUGCCAGCAGCCGCGGUAAUACGUGGGGCGCGAGCGUUGUCCGGAAUUAUUGGGCGUAAAGGGCUUGUAGGUGGCUGGUUGCGUCUGUCGUGAAAGCUCAUGGCUUAACUGUGGGUUUGCGGUGGGUACGGGCUGGCUUGAGUGCAGUAGGGGAGGCUGGAAUUCCUGGUGUAGCGGUGGAAUGCGCAGAUAUCAGGAGGAAUACCGGUGGCGAAGGCGGGUCUCUGGGCUGUUACUGACACUGAGGAGCGAAAGCAUGGGGAGCGAACAGG